CUACUUUCCUGGCAAGGGAGAUACCAUGAUCACAAAGGUGGUUUCCUCAGGGUGAGGCUUACCCAUUGCACUCAGGGUGUGCUGACCCCUGCGAUUUCCCCAAAUGUGGGAAACUCGACUGCAUAAUUUGUGAGAGUGGGGGACUUAAAAAUAAAAGAUUUUCCCUA